AGAGUUUGAUCCUGGCUCAGAAUGAACGUUGGCGGCGUGGAUUAGGCAUGCAAGUCGCACGAGAACCCGCAAGGGGGGACAGUGGCAAACGGCGUAGUAAGGCGUAGGUGACGUACCCCGAGGACCGGGAUAGCCACGGGAAACUGUGGGUAAUACCGGAUAAUUCCCCUCUUCUUGAAAAGGAGGGGGCAAAGGUGAGAGUCCGUCUUGGGAGCGGCUUACGUAGUAUUAGCUAGUUGGUGAGGUGACGGCUCACCAAGGCGAUGAUGCUUAGGGGGUGUUAGCGCAUGACCCCCACGACUGGGACUGAGAUACUGCCCAGACACCUACGGGUGGCUGCAGUCGAGAAUCUUCGGCAAUGGGCGCAAGCCUGACCGAGCGACGCCGCGUGCGGGAUGAAGGCCCUUGGGUUGUAAACCGCUGUUAGAGGGGAUGAAAUGUAUGUGGGCACUCCCAUGUAUUUGACAUAGCCUCAGAGGAAGCACGGGCUAAGUUCGUG
rnacentral:rRNA from 1 species